AACGAACGCUGGCGGCAGGCCUAACACAUGCAAGUCGAGCGCGCCCUUCGGGGUGAGCGGCGGACGGGUGAGUAACGCGUGGGAACGUGCCCUUUUCUACGGAAUAGCCUCGGGAAACUGAGAGUAAUACCGUAUACGCCCUUUGGGGGAAAGAUUUAUCGGAAAAGGAUCGGCCCGCGUUGGAUUAGGUAGUUGGUGGGGUAAUGGCCUACCAAGCCGACGAUCCAUAGCUGGUUUGAGAGGAUGAUCAGCCACACUGGGACUGAGACACGGCCCAGACUCCUACGGGAGGCAGCAGUGGGGAAUCUUAGACAAUGGGGGCAACCCUGAUCUAGCCAUGCCGCGGGAGUGAUGAAGGCCUUAGGGUUGUAAAGCUCUUUCAGCGGGGAAGAUAAUGACGGUACCAGCAGAAGAAGCCCCGGCUAACUCCGU
rnacentral:rRNA from 1 species